GAUGAACGCUAGCGGGAGGCCUAACACAUGCAAGCCGAGCGGUAUUGUUUCUUCGGCAAUGAGAGAGCGGCGUACGGGUGCGUAACACGUGUGCAACCUGCCUUUAUCUGGGGGAUAGCCUUUCGAAAGGAAGAUUAAUACUCCAUAAUAUAUUGAACGGCAUCGUUUAAUAUUGAAAGCUCCGGCGGAUAGAGAUGGGCACGCGCAAGAUUAGCUAGUUGGUGAGGUAACGGCUCACCAAGGCGAUGAUCUUUAGGGGGCCUGAGAGGGUGAUCCCCCACACUGGUACUGAGACACGGACCAGACUCCUACGGGAGGCAGCAGUGAGGAAGAUUGGUCAAUGGGUGCAAGCCUGAACCAGCCAUCCCGCGUGAAGGACGACUGCCCUAUGGGUUGUAAACUUCUUUUGUAUAGGGAUAAACCUACCCUCGAGAGGGUAGCUGAAGGUACUAGACGAAUAAGCACCGGCUAACUCCGUG
rnacentral:rRNA from 1 species